AUGUGGUUUAGUUAGGGGGCAGACAGCAAUUGGAACCCAAUUAACUUUGGAUCCUUUGAGAGAGGCCUUUUGAAGGGACUCUGCAAUCUCAUUGAUUGUUCCUCAAGCAGCCUUUCACAUUU